rnacentral:lncRNA from 1 species
AGAGCAGGCUCUCCUUGCUAGACCAGGCUCUCCUUGCUGCUCUAAUUUCUGCCUUAAUCCCUUUCCAAACAGCCAGGCUGGAAUCAGAAGGGUUUGGGGUUGUGCCAGCCCGUGCAAGGAGCUGCCCUGAAUCAACUCCCUGGGCAGACGGACUCGCGUGGGGCUCAUAAAACCCCAAGCACCUUCUUGGCAGAGUCACAGUAAAUAAGAGCCUGGGAGGGAAAACACCAACUCCAUCUUGCUGGGAAAUGGGGCUUCAGCUUCAUCCAGUUUUUGGCCUCCCAAAUCCAGCAGAGCUCUCCAGGAGCAGGACAUCCAUGGACAGCACCACAGCACAGGGGGUCAGUGCCCAAAUCUGCUUUCUCCUGGCAAGCUGAGUGUGCAGCCAGACCCCUGGAAUCUCCAGGGAGCAGCUCAUCCAAAGGAUGCUUUGGGAAGGUGUGGCCCGUGUCUGGUAAGUCCCAGCCUUCCUCUUCUCUGUUUUGGGUCGUGAUUUCACCCCUGGGGGGGGCUGGGACGUGUCUUUGCAGCCCCUGAGACCUCG